rnacentral:lncRNA from 1 species
AUGUGUCUGCUGGGCUGCGGACGAUGCGCCGGGUCCCGCGAAACGGAGCCCGCGCCCCAAGGCCCCAGCGGUUGCUCUCAGCGAAGGGACUGCUUGGGAGAGCCAAGGAACAGAGUUACGGAGGAGGACUGGCUUUGCUUGCCCGGGAGCGGGUGCCCAACGGGGUCCCCCACCCCCGCUCCCCGCUCUGGCAGGUCCCGGCUGAGAGCCCGCCCUCUGCCCGCGGCCACGGCUCACCUCCUGGGGCGCUCGCCUGGCCGGGCGGGCCGGGGAACGGCGAGCGCGGCCCCUGGAGGACCCGAGCGCUCUCCGGGCUGGGCAGGCGGCGAGGGCGUCCUCUUCGCGAGCUGCCUGGAAAGGACGCCCGGGAUCCUGGCAAGCCGCGGCCGGCUGGGGUCCCUCGGGGACUGGAGGGCGCUCGCUGACUCGCCCGAGGUCUGCUCCUCACCCGGCACAGUCUCCGGGCGCCGGCAGCCCGAACUGCUUUAUAAGGAGCCGGCAGCUGCUUUGAUCCGCCCACGUCAGCGCGCAGAAACCCCACCGGGUGGCUCGGGCCGCGCGCGCGGGGGACGGGGGCGGGGUCCCCGCGGAUGCCACGGACCCGCGGCGCCAGCGGCACGAGAGGACGUCUCACCCUGUUGAGCUACAAAGAAGAGACUUACUAAUUAUAACUCUAGCUGGUGUGUACUGAGCGUGCGGGCUGUGAGCCUACUGCGUGCCCAGGGCGCUUGGGGCCCAGGUAGGGCUGAUUUCUAAACCUGACAGCAAGCCCCGUUUGGACCCUCCAACCCUGUCUGGUUAGGCAGAAGAGGAAGCCACGGCUCAGAGGGAAGUCAGACUUAGGUCUGAGUGCGGAGCCCGGGUGUCAGUAUGAGUUGGUGUUGAAGCUCCAUUACUAUAAACGUCGUGGGUCAGGAGAGCUGCCGUGGCAUCCCAGGACCAGCUUCUCCAGCUCAUCUCUCCAGACCUCCUCUGCUCCAGUUCUGGGAACUCUCAGCAAAGAAAAGAGGUGCGAGGGCUGUGUGCUGCGUGCGAGGCGGCUGUAAACCUUAGGCAACAAGAAGGCAGAUGUCCCAUCUAUGGGAUGAGUGCUGGGGAGUCUGCCUGGUCCUGGGGAGACCACCAGCCAAGGACUGGGUUUCAGAAGUUAAAGCAGACUAUGGUGCUUCGUGUGCACUGUAGACCUAGCCUGGGGCUGGGGCUAUGUUUCAGGGGCAACUUCCCUGGGACUGGUUGAGUACCCACACCUUCCACCCCAACCUUGGCCCUUCCUGGCUGAUACUAUUCCACUCCCAUUUCUAACUGCUGGGUCAGGUGCUUUGGAUUUCUUGACUUCUGUCUCCCCCCAUUCCUUCCACCCCAGGAGCCUCAAUUCCAAGGAUACUCUGGUUCAUUAGCAGAAGGAGAAACAGAUUUAGUGAAAAAAAAAAGACUUCUUUCAGGUCCCCAGAACACUUGGUUACUCUUUCCCCUGUUCUUUGCAGCCACCUGUGAAGUGGCUCCGGUAGGCUGUCCUAACCUGGCUACAGGUCCUUGCAUAUACAACACAUUCAUCUGAGCCCACAGAACCCCCUGCAUGUUCUCAGCCAUGCAAGUAUCCCUGCAUGUAAGCAGGCAGUCUCUCUUGCACACAGGGCUAGAC